rnacentral:rRNA from 1 species
UUGACCUCAAAUCGGGUGAGACUACCCGCUGAACUUAAGCAUAUCAAUAAGCGGAGGAAAGAAACUACAAGGAUCCCCUAGUAACUGCGAGU